rnacentral:lncRNA from 11 species
AGGUGAAAGCUGCUCAAGGUCUGUGUUAAUUGGUUUUUGGGCAAGAACAUCAACAUCAGGCAUCUGGAAGGAUUCCGGCUGUUGUUGAUCCAGAGAAAACCCCAUGUUUUCAUCCUCAUCUGCCACAGGGACACUAGGAGCGGGACUACAAAACCCAUGAGGCAUCACAGACACGAGGAAGGCGCAUCAAGCCAACCCUGAUCAGGACCGCCUUCCACCUGGAAACCGAUGUCUUCACUGUGGAAGAACAUGUGGGUUAAGAAUAGGGCUCAUCACCUACGUACCCACCACCAAAACACUACACUUGGAAGGCCAUCAUACUCGGACAAUGAGGGAUCACCUAAAUUUAGGACAAGUCUACAUGAACAAGAAAAAGUGGACUGCACUGGCUAUUUCAG